GUGCCAGCCGCCGCGGUAAUACGUAGGUCCCGAGCGUUAUCCGGAUUUAUUGGGCGUAAAGCGAGCGCAGGCGGUUAGAUAAGUCUGAAGUUAAAGGCUGUGGCUUAACCAUAGUACGCUUUGGAAACUGUUUAACUUGAGUGCAGAAGGGGAGAGUGGAAUUCCAUGUGUAGCGGUGAAAUGCGUAGAUAUAUGGAGGAACACCGGUGGCGAAAGCGGCUCUCUGGUCUGUAACUGACGCUGAGGCUCGAAAGCGUGGGGAGCAAACAGGAUUAGA
rnacentral:rRNA from 1 species